CAUGCCAUCAGAUGUGCCCAGAUGGGAUUAGCUAGUAGGUGGGGUAACGGCUCACCUAGGCGACGAUCCCUAGCUGGUCUGAGAGGAUGACCAGCACACUGGAACUGAGACACGGUCCAGACUCCUACGGGAGGCAGCAGUGGGGAAUAUUGCACAAUGGGCGCAAGCCUGAUGCAGCCAUGCCGCGUGUGUGAAGAAGGCCUUCGGGUUGUAAAGCACUUUCAGCGGGGAGGAAGGCGGUGAGGUUAAUAACCUCAUCGAUUGACGUUACCCGCAGAAGAAGCACCGGCUAACUCCGUGCCAGCAGCCGCGGUAAUACGGAGGGUGCAAGCGUUAAUCGGAAUUACUGGGCGUAAAGCGCACGCAGGCGGUCUGUCAAGUCGGAUGUGAAAUCCCCGGGCUCAACCUGGGAACUGCAUUCGAAACUGGCAGGCUAGAGUCUUGUAGAGGGGGGUAGAAUUCCAGGUGUAGCGGUGAAAUGCGUAGAGAUCUGGAGGAAUACCGGUGGCGAAGGCGGCCCCCUGGACAAAGACUGACGCUCAGGUGCGAAAGCGUGGGGAGCAAACAGGAUUAGAUACCCUGGUAGUCCACGCCGUAAACGAUGUCGAUUUGGAGGUUGUGCCCUUGAGGCGUGGCUUCCGGAGCUAACGCGUUAAAUCGACCGCCUGGGGAGUACGGCCGCAAGGUUAAAACUCAAAUGAAUUGACGGGGGCCCGCACAAGCGGUGGAGCAUGUGGUUUAAUUCGAUGCAACGCGAAGAACCUUACCUGGUCUUGACAUCCACAGAACUUUCCAGAGAUGGAUUGGUGCCUUCGGGAACUGUGAGACAGGUGCUGCAUGGCUGUCGUCAGCUCGUGUUGUGAAAUGUUGGGUUAAGUCCCGCAACGAGCGCAACCCUUAUCCUUUGUUGCCAGCGGUCCGGCCGGGAACUCAAAGGAGACUGCCAGUGAUAAACUGGAGGAAGGUGGGGAUGACGUCAAGUCAUCAUGGCCCUUACGACCAGGGCUACACACGUGCUACAAUGGCAUAUACAAAGAGAAGCGACCUCGCGAGAGCAAGCGGACCUCAUAAAGUAUGUCGUAGUCCGGAUUGGAGUCUGCAACUCGACUCCAUGAAGUCGGAAUCGCUAGUAAUCGUAGAUCAGAAUGCUACGGUGAAUACGUUCCCGGGCCUUGUACACACCGCCCGUCACACCAUGGGAGUGGGUUGCAAAAGAAGUAGGUAGCUUAACCUUCGGGAGGGCGCUUACCACUUUGUGAUUCAUGACUGGGGUGAAGUCGUAACAAGGUAACCG
rnacentral:rRNA from 1 species